AUUAUGUUCCUGCUGAUGGCAGAAGUGCAAAAGAGUGAGGAGAAGCCCCCAGUGCUCUUAAAGCCUCAGCCUAGGACUGUCACCUCUGCUUAGCUUACUAUCAGUGGGGUGAGGAAAUAUACAUCACCUUUUGUGGAAGGAACGUCAAGGUCAUACAGCUAAAGAUGUGGAGACAGGGAAAGGACGGAAAUUGCUUUCAUCUUUCAAAGUAAAGCCAUGGAGAGAAGGCUGGAUCAACCAGGGUGUUGAGAUAUUAGAGAAAAUCUCAGUCUUUCAAUGAGAGGGACAAUUGAAGAAGUUUCCCAGGCUGCAUCAACUGCAACGCCAUUGUGUCACCUGCAGAAGUUAGCUGCACCUCAUGCUGCUGCUGUCCAUGCUGACUGCAGUCCCCUGGGCAUGUUUACGUUUUGUCUAAGUUCUUAGCACUGAUUUUUUCUGGCAUUCAGGUUUCACAUCUGUAACCGCUCUUGCCAGAGGUAGAAGCUUUGUUGAGAUUGAGGACUAUGCUGGACACACAGUAAUUCCAUUAUCACCAGAUUAAUUCGUAAUGAAUGAACACAUGACGCUCUGCU
rnacentral:lncRNA from 1 species